GGGAUUCACAAUCCACUGCCUUGAUCCACUUGGCUACAU
rnacentral:tRNA from 1 species